rnacentral:rRNA from 1 species
GGAAUUUUCCGCAAUGGGCGCAAGCCUGACGGAGCAACGCCGCGUGAGGGAUGAAGGCCUCUGGGCUGUAAACCUCUUUUAUCAAGGAAGAAGAACUGACGGUACUUGAUGAAUAAGCCACGGCUAAUUCCGUGCCAGCAGCCGCGGUAAUACGGGAGUGGCAAGCGUUAUCCGGAAUUAUUGGGCGUAAAGCGUCCGCAGGCGGUUUUACAAGUCUGUCGUUAAAGCGUGGAGCUCAACUCCAUUUCAGCGAUGGAAACUGUAAGACUCGAGUGUGGUAGGGGCAGAGGGAAUUCCCGGUGUAGCGGUGAAAUGCGUAGAUAUCGGGAAGAACACCAGUGGCGAAAGCGCUCUGCUGGGCCAUAACUGACGCUCAUGGACGAAAGCCAGGGGAGCGAAAGGGAUUAGAUACCCCUGUAGUCCUGGCCGUAAACGAUGAACACUAGGUGUCGGGGGAAUCGACCCCCUCGGUGUCGUAGCCAACGCGUUAAGUGUUCCGCCUGGGGAGUACGCACGCAGGUGUGAAACUCAAAUGAAUUGACGG